rnacentral:rRNA from 1 species
AACACAUGCAAGUCGAACGAUGAUCCCAGCUUGCUCGGGGAUUAGUGGCGAACGGGUGAGUAACACGUGAGUAACCUGCCCUUAACUCUGGGAUAAGCCUGGGAAACUGGGUCUAAUACCGGAUAUGACUCCUCAUCGCAUGGUGGGGGGUGGAAAGCUUUAUUGUGGUUUUGGAUGGACUCGCGGCCUAUCAGCUUGUUGGUGAGGUAAUGGCUCACCAAGGCGACGACGGGUAGCCGGCCUGAGAGGGUGACCGGCCACACUGGGACUGAGACACGGCCCAGACUCCUACGGGAGGCAGCAGUGGGGAAUAUUGCACAAUGGGCGAAAGCCUGAUGCAGCGACGCCGCGUGAGGGAUGACGGCCUUCGGGUUGUAAACCUCUUUCAGUAGGGAAGAAGCGAAAGUGACGGUACCUGCAGAAGAAG